AACGCACAUUGCGCUCCCUGGUAUUCCGGGGAGCAUGCCUGUUCGAGCGUCAUUACACCCUCAAGCCCCGGCUUGGUAUUGGGCCUUCACCCUUUGGGGUGAGCCUGAAAAGCAGUGGCGGUGCCGCCGGGCUUCAAGCGUAGUAACAUUCUUCUCGCUUUGGAAGUCCCGGUGUGUUGCCUGCCAGACAACCCCCCAUUUUCUAAUGUUGACCUCGGAUCAGGUAGGGAUACCCGCUGAACUUAA
rnacentral:misc_RNA from 1 species